rnacentral:rRNA from 1 species
GAGACAGCAGUCGCCACGGGAAUACAGAGGGUGCAAGCGUUAAUCGGAAUUACUGGGCGUAAAGCGCGCGUAGGUGGUUUGUUAAGUUGGAUGUGAAAGCCCCGGGCUCAACCUGGGAACUGCAUCCAAAACUGGCAAGCUAGAGUACGGUAGAGGGUGGUGGAAUUUCCUGUGUAGCGGUGAAAUGCGUAGAUAUAGGAAGGAACACCAGUGGCGAAGGCGACCACCUGGACUGAUACUGACACUGAGGUGCGAAAGCGUGGGGAGCAAACAGGAUUAGAUACCCCAGUAGUCCCUGUCUCUUAUAC